GCCAGCAAGACAUAGUGGUUUGAGUGCUAGGCUACAACUUUGGAGACCAGGGUUCGAUUCCCAGGUUGGCC